UUCCCCUAGUAACGGCGAGUGAAGAGGGAAAAGCUCAAAUUUGAAAUCUGGCAGUCUUGCGGCUGUCCGAGUUGUAAUCUAGAGAAGUGUUUUCCGUGCUGGACCGUGUACAAGUCCUUUGGAACAAGGCGUCAUAGAGGGUGAGAAUCCCGUCUACGACACGGACUCCCAGUGCUCUGUGAUACACUCUCAACGAGUCGAGUUGUUUGGGAAUGCAGCUCAAAAUGGGUGGUAAAUUCCAUCUAAAGCUAAAUAUAGGCGAAAGACCGAUAGCGAACAAGUACCGUGAGGGAAAGAUGAAAAGCACUUUGGAAAGAGAGUUAAACAGUACGUGAAAUUGUUGAAAGGGAAACGCUUGAAGUCAGUCGCGUCUUCAGAAACUCAGCCUGGCUUCUGCCUGGUGUACUUUUCUGUUGGACGGGCCAGCAUCAGUUUCGGCCGCCAGAAAAAGGUGGGAGGAAGGUGGCACCCUCGGGUGUGUUAUAGCCUCUCAUCGUAUGUGGCGGUUGGGACUGAGGAAUGCAGCACGCCUUCAAUGGCCGGGGUUCGCCCACGUAACGUGCUUAGGAUGCUGGCGUAAUGGCUUUAAACGACCCGUCUUGAAACACGGACCAAGGAGUCUAACAUGCCUGCGAGUAUUUGGGUGGUAAACCCAUAUGCGGAAUGAAAGUGAACAGUUGGGACUUCUGUCAUGGAAGGCACCGACGCCCGGACCAGACCUACUGUGACGGAUCCGAGGUAGAGCAUGUAUGUUGGGACCCGAAAGAUGGUGAACUAUGCCUGAGUAGGGUGAAGCCAGAGGAAACUCUGGUGGAGGCUCGUAGCGAUUCUGACGUGCAAAUCGAUCGUCGAACUUGGGUAUAGGGGCGAAAG
rnacentral:rRNA from 1 species